UUUCCCUACGGGGGGCAGCAGGGGGGGAUAUUGCACAAUGGAGGAAACUCUGAUGCAGCGACGCCGCUUGAGGGAAGACGGUCUUCGGAUUUUAAACCUCUGUCUUUGGGGAAGAAAAUGACGGUACCCAAAGAGGAAGCUUCGGCUAACUACGUGCCAGCAGCCGCGGUAAUACGUAGGGAGCGAGCGUUGUCCGGAAUUACUGGGUGUAAAGGGAGCGUAGGCGGGCG
rnacentral:rRNA from 1 species